ensembl:lncRNA
CAGGGUCCGUAUGCACGACCGGCAGCGGGGUACGGCCACGUAGCGAGCGAGCGAGGCUACGUGUCUAGGAGGCCUCAUCUCGUAAGAGCCGUGAGACACUCGCGUGUUCCGUUAUGUGGAGGACAGCCAAGCGACUGGAGUUACAGAAGAGGAAGGGAGGAGAGAAGGAGAAAGAAGCGUCUGAGCUGGCAAGGUCUCCUGGCAGCUCCAAGAGCGAGAGCUGUGUUUUGACAGCAGUUGAUAUACAACCUUGUGGAAAGGCCAGACCGUUGCACGUAGCUGGAGCUUGUAAGGAGAAGCAGCUGAAAUCAGCCGGAGCUUCAGCGCGGAGCUGGGGCUUCAGCGAGCCAGAACUGUAGCAAGCGGGAGCUGGAACGAGGCUGGGGUGUCCGCUGUCUGGAGCGUGCAUUAGCCAGAGGCGAAAGUACCUGCGGCUGUAACGAGCAGGAGCCGCGAUUAGCUGGAGCGUCCGUCGGCCGGACCGCGCUCCCAGCACGGCCGAAGGGCGGCCGGGCGCAGGCAGGGCUGUCCGCAGCAAGCAGCUCCGAGCAGCAGGGAGGCGAGCCGUCCUUCUGCCGGCGGGGAGCCCGGCCUCUUCCCUCGGGGAUGCAAUCCGCGCCACGCUCCUCUCUCUGCGUGGAGGGUCUCGCCCGGUCCGUUCCCGCGGGCAGAAGCAAGGUGGGGGUCCCCCGGCUCUCCUGGGGCAGCCCCCCUGUGAGGGGGCGCGGGCGAGGUGUCGUCGUCCCCUCGGUACCGGGCAAAGGGGAGAGAAACGGGCCGGUGGGAGCUCCUGGGGUGCGGAGAGCCCUUCCGGCAGAAUCCUCCCCUGUCUUUUCACCGUUGGCUGGGUGCGACAAGCAGGUUCAUUUCUUUGUCUCCUCUUUUCCCAGCGUCACCUUCCGCGUCACACGAAGAAAAUCCCGCGUGGGUAAUUCCGCUUGCUGCUCAGCUGGAUGUCAGCUGGCACCGUUUCGCCGUGCUUGCCCUUUCUUCUGCCAUGACAAUACGAGACAGAUGGAAAGAAUCCAUAGUGGUCUGCAAGUACAAGGUACGUCUGUGAUGUGUGUCUGCGUUUUUCCAAAGGUACUUGCAGUAUGGACUUUAACAUUAAGAGUGUGCCAACUCUCCUUUUACAUUUUUUUACGUGAAAUAUUGUAACGCAAAUACUAAAAAUAAGUUCUGUUCUGGAGCAAGUUACACCUAUGCAAAGUUUACUUCCCUCCGUUUAUUUUCUCUUCCUGAAAGCAUAAUCUUCUGUUUCUGUGCACUUGCUAGUAAAUGAUAUAGUGAAAAUAAUUUUGUACUAAAAGAGGGAAGAAACUGUUCGUAAGAGUUCAGCUGUUCAGAAGAAACAGACUUUGUUUUCAUGAUAAAAGCUUUAUGCUUUUGCAGUCCAUGAGUUUUUUAAAAUAGCUUAUAGGAGUACUCGACAACCUUACUGAGAUAACUAGCAUCUGUGCUAAAAGCAAUCGAGGUCAAAGAAGAGACGUGGACAAAACAGGACAAAUUGGCGUCGCAUCUGUGUGUUUUCCAGGCUUUCCCAGGAAGCACUGGCAGCCCUGUAACUAGUGACAGUGAGUCCUGAUUGUUUUUGAUGAGUUACUGCUUCAGUAAUGUAUUUUUUCCUUUAACCUACAGCGUGUCAUUUUGACUUCAGUUGGAAAGAGAUUUUCCAAAAUGGAAGUCUUUGUCACUCAAAGAAAUUUUCUUUUAUGAACUUCCCAUCAGAGUGGAUCUUCAGAGGUGAUCGACUUGACAGUAGAAGUCAUCAGUAACAAGACUUUUCACUCUCUUUAAAAAGAGGGGGGGAAAAAAAAAAAAAAAGUCAAUUUCCUUCCAAAGACCCAAGCACAGCCCAUCUUCCUAAAGUUGAUGGCAUCGCUGGUCUUUGGUUUCUCAGUUGUAACAGUCGCGACAACAUGAAAAUGUGUUGCUCUGCGUGCUUCAGUACUGCCAAAAGCAUUAGGAAAUCCGCCAGUCCUUUUUGGUAGUCUGAGGUAUUGCAGCACUGGGGAUUUUACAAAUUGACCUGCAUUGUUUAAAGUGUAACUGCCAAAUAGCUGUAGUAUAUCAUUUAUGAGGUGUAUGUAAGCAGUUAGGUAUUUUUCUAAAUGUUUAAAAAGAGAGGCAACUGAAUGUUGUGGGUUUUCUUUCCUGACGUUUUGACGGAGUGCUCUGAAGUACUUUCUUUCUGUCUGGCUUUCAAUGGUGUGUUUCCCUGGCAGUUCAGUAGCACCUCUCUUGGGCAGCGCAGCUGGCCAGGUGUUCCUCCUCAUUACGUAACACACACAAAAACCCCCUAGUCACAUUAUAACUGUGUACUUUGGAGAUAGAUAAUUUAACGGUAGGAAUUCAGAGCUGUGCAAGUUAAGGUAAUGCAAAAGGAAAAUCAAAUACUUUUACAGUAUAAGUAUUCUUAUUGGAUGUAUAUAAACGUGGGCACACCCUUUGAGUGUAAAGUGAAUUAUUGAGAUUUAUUCUUUAUUUUUCAUUUUGCUCUUUGAAGUUUUCCACUUCACUUUCAGCUUUAUUCACCAAACAAGCAAGAUGCAAAGCAGCAGCAGCAGCGCAAGGGCUGUAGCUGUUGCGGUGGAUCCGUAAGCAUAGAUUCUGAUUGUGUACGACCUCGUCCCGCAGCCUCCCGGGGUUCUCUCCCUGCAGCAGUGCUGUAAGGAAGGGAGGAGACGUUUUCCAACCCCGGCAAGAGUGUUUACUUGUGUGCUAAGCAGGUGUUCAAAAUGGUAUCAAUUAGCCUAAAUGCUGAUUUUAAGUGUUCAAAUAGCUCUUAACUUUUAAAGGAGGGUGGUGUAUUUCGAGCUGACCUGUUUACCUGGAAUCCUCCUUUAGCUCAGCGACUCUCCUUGUGCACCCCCAGCCUCCGCUGGCAGGGCGGUAUGAGAAGCUGGAAGGUCCUUGACUUAGUAUAAACCCUGCUUAGCAACAACUAAAGCGUCGGUGUGUUGUCAACGUUAUUCUCGUCCUAAAUCCAAAAUGGCCCUGUACCAGCUACUCAGGAAGAAAAUUAACUUUAUUCCAGCCAAAACCAGGACAACCCCAAACCCCCCUGAUUCUGGGUCUGCAACAGGGAAAAAAAACAAACGAAUUUGGGACUCCUGGGAAAGCCAAAUCCGCCUGGAUCUGUGCAGCUGGAAAGGAAAAAAUCCCACCCCGUUUUCACGCGCAAAACCACAA